UACGGGGGGGGCAAGCGUUGUUCGGAAUUACUGGGCGUAAAGGGCUCGUAGGCGGCCAACUAAGUCAGACGUGAAAUCCCUCGGCUUAACCGGGGAACUGCAUCUGAUACUGGAUGGCUUGAGUUCGGGAGAGGGAUGCGGAAUUCCAGGUGUAGCGGUGAAAUGCGUAGAUAUCUGGAGGAACACCGGUGGCGAAGGCGGCUUCCUGGACCUGUUCUGACACUGAGGAGCGAAAGCGUGGGGAGCGAUCCGG
rnacentral:rRNA from 1 species